AUACCUUUCUCGGCCUUUUGGCUAAGAUCAAGUGUAGUAUCUGUUCUAUUCAGUUUAAUAUCUGAUACGUGGGCCAUUGGCUUACAUGAUAUUAAAUUAUUUUUUUCGGAGGAAGACCCGUCACGGUUGCUUGCUGUUGGGGUCUUCGAGUGUCGCCCUUGUGUUGCACUUCUAAUUGGGCUAGACGCACCCAAU